rnacentral:rRNA from 1 species
AUUGAACGCUGGCGGCAGGCCUAACACAUGCAAGUCGAGCGAUCGGCGGACGGGUGAGAAAUGUAUGGGAAACUGCCUGAUGGAGGGGGAUAACAACUGGAAACGGUAGCUAAUACCGCAUACCAUCAGAUGUGCCCAGAUGGGAUUAGCUAGUAGGUGGGGUAACGGCUCACCUGGGCGACGAUCCCUCGCUGGUCUGAGAGGAUGAACCGCCACACUGGAACUGAGACACGGUCCAGACUCCUACGGGAGGAAGCAGGGGGGAAUAUUGCACAAUGGGCGCAAGCCUGAUGCAGCCAUGCCGCGUGUGUGAAGAAGGCCUUCGGGUGGUAAAGCACUUUCAGCGGGGAGGCGUUACCCACAGAAGAAGCACCGGCUAACUCCGUGCCAGCAGCCGCGGUAAUAC